AAAAAUUUAAGAUAAAACAUGUGGACUAAAAUGGUAGGUUUACUGAUCAGAAAACAAAAUGAAACCGUGCAUAAUGUACGCAGAAUUUAAGGGUCAUUAAAUAAUGGCGAAAACCCAUCCGCCAAUUGGAAUUUACCCACCGUGGCGCAUUUUUUCGGACCAACGGUUUUGAAAGCAAGAAUCAUUCCACUGCCGUUUGUUGCAGAGAAACAUUCAAAGAGUCUGAAGCCACACUCCCGCCGUUCAAAUCCACCACCUAACUUACAAAAAUCAGCUAAUUUGCACCCGCAUCGAGAGACGAAACCUCUGAUGCUUCUGCAAGUGGAAUCCUAAUGCGGGAAACUGGGCGUAGUGCCCACAUCCUGCAGCGGCAUUGAUGAGUCAUGAUAGUUAGCGAACUGGAGAAAGAUUCAGAUGGAGAAUGGUGCAGAGCGAGGAAUUGAUGUAGGUGCUUUUGUCUCCAGGUGACCAGUGCCUGCCCCGCUCAGUCGUCUCUUUUUGUCAACUGGCACCACCACAACCCUAAUUUUGAAGGCAGCGGCCGACUCUCUCUCUCUUUCGCCGUGUUUAUUAUUGCAACUUUUCACAUGAAUUCCUGGAAAUUGUUCAAAGACAACCCUUCGAAAUAAGCUGGUGGAAUUCCUGUCCCAUGUUCAGAAACUGGAGAGCAAGAGGAUGAAUUUGGAGCUCCUGAAAACAAGUUCAUUUUCGUGUUGGGAUCCUUCACAGCGUUGAGUUAGCGUGCAAUUGAUUCGACAUCCCAUCCGAGGACUACCCACUUUCCUCUUCUACGUCUUCGUCUUCUUCGCAUCUGGCUCUGUUUUCGUGGUGCCGUGGAAUGCGUGUUGUUAAAGAGGAAUGGUCUUUUUAAGAUGAAAGUUUCCAUUGGAUGGUGCAAGAUAGACACACAAUCUGCAUUUCUAUUAGAGCCAUUUCAGACGAGAAUAGAGAGUAAAAAGAAAGCGGUUCAAAAGAAGUAAGGAAUGAAACAUGCAAAACCAAAUAGAUGAGGGGGGAUGUUUAUUUCUCUAUCAAGUUAAAAUUCCAUCAAAACGAUGUGAAUGACUGUUUUUCUUUGUUUCUUUGUCGUGAAGAGGAAACUCGUCCCAUUGUUUUGAUGAAAAUCAAUUAAUAUUUCA